CAGAUCCAAGCCAUGUCUGCGACCUACACCACAGCUCAUGGCAACACUGGAUCCUUAACCCACUGAGCAAGGCCGUGGAUCGAACCUGCGUCCUCAUGGAUACUAGUCAGAUUCGUUUCUGCUGUGCCACACGGGGCCUUGAAAUACGGUUGGGGUCUGAAUAUGGAACAGUGCAGAGAAGAGGGACGGGCACCCCACAUGGAUGAGCAGUGAGAAAAAGAGCUUGGUGGAAAGAGUGGGGGCGCGCCUGGGGACGGCAAGGAAGCCGGGUCCAGGAGGCAGAGGAUGUGCGGGGAAGGCGGAAGAUGUGGUUGACUGAGAGGUGGCCAUGGGAAGCUCGAGUGAACCACAUCGAAGCCCUCCGUCUAGCGUCGCUUUGCAGUCGUGUGUGUGUGAUUACUGUCCACCCAUCCAUAGGGCCACCCCGCUACCCUGUGAGCACAGGGGCAUAUGUUUUAUCAUGGACACUGGUAUGUGUAAAGACUUGCGUGUGCCAGACACACCUGGCUCAAAUGGGAGUGCAGCUCUUCCUCAGUUUUGUGUAACUGCUGGUCACUGAGCUCCAGCGGAGAGCCAUGCCUGGCACUCUGAGACUGACACGCUACCUGCUGUGCUAACAAGGCACCUCAAUGCCUGGCACUAGAUGCUGGAGCGUGAGGACAAACAGGUUGAGAUCUAAAAAGUAAGACUUGGACCGGGGCUGUCCUUAGACUCACCUGAGUCCUUCAGACCUUCCUUCCUGCAGAACCUGGGGAGAUGUUGGGCUGAAGACUGAGGAUGCAGACACCGCGUCUGCCAUCUUCGUCCCAGCAGCUUCCACGCCAAUGCUGAGCUGCCACUGCUCUGCCUUGGGGCCAGACGAAAGGCCGUGUUCUCAUCCAGCGCCCCCUCUGAAAAAGCAGUUUGGUACCUUCUUAUAUACACCCACAAGGCUGGCCCCAGAUUGCAAGAAAUAUUCAGAAGUGGUUUUCAAUGAUAACAUCCAGCUAACUCCUCUAAACCCAGGAGGCCUGGAGGCUGUUUAUCUCAAGGAAGAUGCCUGGAGCCUUCCCCCCGGACAUAAGUGGAGGAUCCCAGAACGUGUGAACAUGCAUCCUCUGACUGGGUACCGGUCAGCUGUCCCCCCGCCCCCACCACCAGGCACAGGAACCAAGGCAGAGGGCGGGAGGCAGGAGAGGCCAAAGUCCUUACCUGCUUCUGAGCCCAGGUUUUCCUGGCAGAGCUGGGAAGCGGGAAGUAUCUCCCUACCUGCCUCUAGCCCUGAGAUGCUGAGAAGGAAGCCAGGACCCCGAGGGAGGCUUUGGAUCUCUGCAGGACUGUGCCUGUGCCAUCUCUGGCACCAGUCUUUACUGAGCCCCCAGCAGGUUACCGUAGCAUCCAGUCUGGUCUGGCCUGGCACCUAAGAGAUUGGGUUUUAAAACGAGGGCCUAUCUACAAAAAAUAAAGUAAUAGUGACAGCUAAAUUUAUCAAGUAGUUACUCUGUUCCAGGUGUGGUGCUAAGUGUUUGCUUUGCAUUCGCUCAUUUAAGCCUCCCCGUGACUCUGGAAUAAUUGUGGGAUUGUUUGACAGCUGAGGAAACUGAGUCACAGAGAGACAUGGUCUCUUUCUGAAAUCACUCGGCCAGUAACAGGUGGAAGUGGACAUUGAACCCGUCUGCCUCCAGAGCUUGUACGCCUCAGGGAAGUCGGCCCCGGGGGGUGUGUAGGAGCCACCAGAGGUCAGAGCAGAGAGGUCAGCUGCUGACCAGCCGGACUCUGAGAUCCGGUUUCUCGCUGUUGGAGCCGGCUGCCCCCACUGCUUCAGGGAGGGGACUGCUGCCCUGCUGUAUGAGCCACCUUUGCCAGGAGGAUUAGCUUCUUCCUCGUGUCAAAACAAGCCAAGCAGGAAAAAAAUCAACAACCAACUCCCGACUUCCAGCAGCAAGAGCCCUGCAUCCUGUCCAGCAGGAGGGAGCUCUCCGCUGCGGAGGGGGUCGACUGUCCUAGACCACGUCCUGGUUGUGGGCGUGUGCCGAGAGGGACCCCGAGACCCCCGGGUUUCCAGGUCGGGGCCCCGAGGCCCUGCCAGUGCACAGUCCCUGGCAGCAGCCCUUCUCCUCUGCUCCCCAUCCAGCCCUGUGACGUCUGCUGAUAUCCCGUCCUGCCACGGGCUUGCUCUGCGUCCACGGCGAGCCCAGUGACCGUUUGCAGGGUAAGGACAUUGGAUGUGAGCAGUGGUUUUCAAAACAAAAUGUUUCUUUGUUGCAAAGGAACAUGUUCUUCAGAUGAAACAACUUCUGCUAGAAUAGCAAACAGUCUAAAGCAGAGGUGUCAGUUUUCGUAAAAAUAAACAAGGGCCAAAAACCUUGGGUCAGUCAAAAUUCUCUGCAAAUGGUUCCCUGAGCCUGACUGGAUCUCCUUUUGCCACUCCUGCCCCCUUUGGUGGCCUUUGCACCUUCUGGCUUGAUUGGAAGUUGUGGAUUCUUCGGAGCCCCCUCAGCUUCCUCCAUGGAGCCUCAGUGCGUCGUGGUUCCAGCUGCAUUUAUUAACCAUUUUAAUCGUUGGGCUCCCCCGAACUGCCUGGUGGUAGCUUCAGAGAAUGUGUGUGUAUAUUUGCAUACACAUGGUAUUUGCAUAGAUGAUGUAUGCAGACAGCAUAUAUUUGCAUAUGCAUUUAUGUAUAUGUGUGUAUCCGUGGGAACAUAUGUGCGUAUGCAUGUGCGUGUCACAUACGGAGAGAGCCUUUGGAGAGAGGCCAUGUCUUUGUGUCCCUCAGCACCUGGUCAGCAGUAGGCCCGCAGGAGCGUUUCGAUCGCGGGGGUCUUCUGCGUCCUCAGAACAUCUUCUUGCCCAUGUCAGGUGCUCAGUAAAUACUAGCGUCGAAUGAUUGGGUGACUUGGCAGGUCAUACCUGGAAAGUCUUGGCUAUCAAUCUUGGGUCUUGCCAUGUACUUGCUGUAAAAUCGGGGUAAAUAUUCAUCACUUGUCUUAACCAUCGGGUGGGGAUGACAGCGCAUGCCUGCCGCAACUGCUGAUGGAAUGCCUGCCACAGUCCAGGCACGCCUCUCAGCAGUUUACAAAGCAGACAGAGGUCCUUGUCCUCAUGGAGCUCACAUUUCAGCCAGAUUCGAGAAGAGCCCCUCUCCCGCCCCCGACCCCGAGUUGCUGGGAGAAGAGGAGGAGGAAAGGGUCCCUCCUGCUUGGUCAGAGGCAGAGCCACAACCUGGGUUGGGACUGCCACAGGAUGGAGGGGCGCUGGUGGCCUGUGUGGGACACAGGACUCUCAGCGCGGAGUUUACGCCAUGAGAGAAGAGGAGGAGGAAAUGCCAUCGGGGCUGAGCUGGAAGGGUAGCAAGUCUCUCUGCCUCCCCAGGCACCUGCUCUGACUGACCCUGAGGCUGUGCCCCCCGCCCCCAGUCAGCACCACGUGGAGCUGCCCUCGUCUGAGGGCUGCAGCCCCAGAGCCCUGCUGCCUCCAUGCCUCUCUUUUCUAGUGGCAUCUCUUUUACCCAUUUCCAGGGCAUCGCUCUGGGAAAUAGAGAGAGGAGGCUUUGGCCCUGGUCACCUCUGGCUGCCCUGCUGGCCCUCGGAGCCGCAUGUUCAUGGAGGUUUGUCCCUCACCGAGGAUGAUUUCGAGUGAGUUUUACUUGAUCUUGGCUCUGCUUUAGUGCCCUCGUCUAUAAGGUGGGACUGGUAAUAAUUGCACUUACCUCAUGGAGUUAUUGAAAGGAUUAAAUGAGCCUGUAAAGUGCUUAAAAUAGUAUCUGGCUCAGAGUAAGUGCUCUGUCUGUUCAUGCUGGAUGGCUGGAUGCAUUUGUGUAGUGGCGGUGGGCCUGUCUGCUUGGCCCUGUGACCACGAGCUCGCCGUGGGCAGGACACAUCCCACGUGUCCCUAUAGUCUCAGCACCUAGCCCGGUGCCUGGCACACGGUAGGCAUGCCGCAAAUACACGUUAUGAGAACAGUGACCACUCUGGGAACUUUCACAUGCCACAGGUGUGG
rnacentral:lncRNA from 1 species